rnacentral:rRNA from 1 species
AGAGUUUGAUCCUGGCUCAGAGCGAACGCUGGCGGCAGGCUUAACACAUGCAAGUCGAGCGGGCGUAGCAAUACGUCAGCGGCAGACGGGCGAGUAACGCGUGGGAACGUACCUUUUGGUUCGGAACAACACAGGGAAACUUGUGCUAAUACCGGAUAAGCCCUUACGGGGAAAGAUUUAUCGCCGAAAGAUCGGCCCGCGUCUGAUUAGCUAGUUGGUGAGGUAACGGCUCACCAAGGCGACGAUCAGUAGCUGGUCUGAGAGGAUGAUCAGCCACAUUGGGACUGAGACACGGCCCAAACUCCUACGGGAGGCAGCAGUGGGGAAUAUUGGACAAUGGGCGCAAGCCUGAUCCAGCCGUGCCGCGUGAGUGAUGAAGGCCCU